rnacentral:rRNA from 1 species
GUCUAUGGCCAUGCUACUCUGAACAUGCCCCAUCCAGUCUGAUCUCAGAAGCUAAGCAGGAUCAGGCCUGUUUAGUACUUGGAUGGGAGACCACCUAGGAAGACCAGGUGCUGUAGGUG